AUGAGCAUUUGGAACCGCUUGGUAAUAUUAGGCUGUGACCGCUUGGAGCUGCAGGCGAGGAAAGAAAGAUACAACAAAGGGCCUGCCCUCUGGGAGCUCACAGUUCGAGGAAGGGUCAGAAACCUCAUCAGUCCUGGUGGUGACAGAACCAUGGAAGUAGCCCAUCCUAGAAACCUGGUAAGUGAUACCUUAUGUCCUGAAGGAUGUGUUAAGAAUGAUUUGAAUUAGAGAAAGACGCAAAGAAUACAGCGUGGACAAGAGCAUUGAGUUGUAAACAGCUGUUAUUUCAACAUGAGUCAUCAACCAAAUUAACAUCAGCAGAGAUACUGUCUCUAUCUCAGAAGUUUUCAUGCAUUUCUAAUUAUAUAUUUUACAUGUUUGUGAAGACAGUUUUUCCCGUUUUUAGAUUUCUGGUUGACUUUGCUGCUGCUCUUCCUGUUUCCCUUCCUUCAUGUCUGCUGUUGCUAUUUAGAUGUGUGCUAUCCGUUGGAUUUCAACAAGAAAAAAGGUAAAGAUCACAUUGAUUAAAUUAUCAUCCUGAAAAAGACACGUAAGGAGGCAGUUUGGUUCACAGAUUCAUGUAAAUCCAGUGCAUGGAAAUGACGUAUAACAAUCUGGUAUGUGAAAAGUCAGUUAGAAAAUGGUAAAGUUCAGGUUUUGCCUCUGGUAUUCUGUUAUUUGAAUUUUGUGGCAAAAACUCCCCCAAAUUCAUAUUCUAGUAAGUUUAGUGUGACGAUUUUAAUACCAGCAGCUACGAUUUUAGGAAGGCUCAAGAAUUUUGGAUUCAGAGAGGUGUGCAUUUUAUUUUUAACUCAUUGCUUUUUUUUUUUUUUUUUUUUUUUUUGCGAGAUGGUGUCUCACUGUGUCGCCCAGGCUGGAGUGCAGUGGUGUGAUCUCAGCUUAUUGCAACCUCCCCCUCCCAGGUUCAAGCCUCAGCCUCCUGAGUAGCUGGGACUACACAUGCGUGCCACCACGUCCAGCUAAUUUUUUUUUGUAUUUUUUGUAGAGACAAGGUUUCACCAUGUUGGCCAGGAUGGUCUCGAUCUCCUGGCCUCCCAAAGUGUUGGGGUUACAGGCGUGAGCCACCGCACCUGGCCACUCACUGCUGUUUUUACUUUGAGCUAGUAACUUCCUUGAGCUUCAAUUUCUCCAUUCAUAGAACAGAAGAGAAAUAUGCAAGUGCUAUUUUGGGAUAAAAUGACUAACGUUUAGUAAUGCUAAGUGCAGGACCUGGAACAUAGAAGGUGCUGGAUAAAUAAUUGUCUUUAUGAUUAUUUUGCUAGCUUCAUUCCCUUUGCAAAAUUAUAUUGCUUGGGGAUUCAAUAUGCGACAUUCAGAGUCCAACUUCAUAGUCUGAGGUGCAAAUUAACCUCCAGAGUGAUUGAGAGUGCAAAAGAUCAACUCCUCUAUUUGUCAGUAGGAAUACAAAGUCUGUAAGUCCAGUCAGCCUGGUGCAGCUCCUUCCCUGUUACAUAUUCAGAGGGCUCCUGGGUUUCUCAGGGAGAGUCCAGUCCAGCUCUGCUUGGUUGUGAUGUGCUGUGUUGGUGGUUGUGAAUGACAGUGAAUGCUAGCAUGAAUAAAUUGAAUGUGAAGUGGAGAUGGUGAAUGUGG
rnacentral:lncRNA from 13 species